rnacentral:piRNA from 1 species
UGAUCUCAGUGUCUUUUAGCACUUUUCUGC